GAUGAACGCUAGCGGCAGGCCUAAUACAUGCAAGUCGAACGGUGUAGCAAUACACAGUGGCGCACGGGUGCGUAACACGUAUGCAACCUACCUUACAUUGGGGGAUAGCCUUUCGAAAGGGAGAUUAAUACCGCAUAAGACAGUAACUAGGCAUCUAGUAGCUGUUAAAGAUUUAUCGAUGUAAGCUGGGCAUGCGUCCAAUUAGUUAGUUGGCGAGGUAAUGGCUCACCAAGACGAUGAUUGGUAGGGGAACUGAGAGGUCAAUCCCCCACACUGGCACGGAGAUACGGGCCAGACGCCUACGGGAGGCAGCAGUAGGGAAUAUUGGGCAAUGGGCGCAAGCUUGACCCAGCCAUGCCGCGUGCAGGAAGAAGGCGUUAUGCGUUGUAAACUGCUUUUAUACAGGAAGAAACGACCCUUGCGAGGGGCAUUGACGGUACUGUAUGAAUAAGCACCGGCUAACUCCGUGCCAGCAGCCGCCGUAAUAC
rnacentral:rRNA from 1 species